AGAGUUUGAUCCUGGCUCAGGACGAACGCUGGCGGCGUGCCUAAUACAUGCAAGUCGAGCGGAUCAUCUUGCGUAGCUUGCUACAAUAGAUGAUUAGCGGCGGACGGGUGAGUAACACGUAGGCAACCUGCCCAUAAGACUGGGAUAACAUUCGGAAACGGAUGCUAAGACCGGAUACGCAAGUCUGUCGCAUGACGGGC
rnacentral:rRNA from 1 species